rnacentral:rRNA from 1 species
AUUGAACGCUGGCGGCAUGCCUUACACAUGCAAGUCGAACGGCAGCGCGGGAGCAAUCCUGGCGGCGAGUGGCGAACGGGUGAGUAAUAUAUCGGAACGUGCCCAGUAGUGGGGGAUAGCCCGGCGAAAGCCGGAUUAAUACCGCAUACGACCUGAGGGUGAAAGGGGGGGAUCGCAAGACCUCUCGCUAUUGGAGCGGCCGAUAUCAGAUUAGGUAGCUGGUGGGGUAAAGGCCUACCAAGCCUGCGAUCUGUAGUUGGUCUGAGAGGACGACCAGCCACACUGGGACUGAGACACGGCCCAGACUCCUACGGGAGGCAGCAGUGGGGAAUUUUGGACAAUGGGCGCAAGCCUGAUCCAGCAAUGCCGCGUGCAGGAAGAAGGCCUUCGGGUUGUAAACUGCUUUUGUCAGGGAAGAAAUCCUCUAGGCUAAUACCUUGGGGGGAUGACGGUACCUGAAGAAUAAGCACCGGCUAACUACGUGCCAGCCGCCGCAGUAA